rnacentral:rRNA from 1 species
UACGAAGGGGGCGAGCGUUGUUCGGAAUCACUGGGCGUAAAGGGUGCGUAGGCGGGUCUUUAAGUCAGGGGUGAAAUCCUGGAGCUCAACUCCAGAACUGCCUUUGAUACUGAGGAUCUUGAGUUCGGGAGAGGUGAGUGGAACUGCGAGUGUAGAGGUGAAAUUCGUAGAUAUUCGCAAGAACACCAGUGGCGAAGGCGGCUCACUGGCCCGGUACUGACGCUGAGGUGCGAAAGCGUGGGGAGCAAACAGGAUU